rnacentral:rRNA from 1 species
GAUGAACGCUGGCGGCGUGCCUAAUACAUGCCAGUCGAGCGAACGGACGAGAAGCUUGCUUCUCUGAUGUUAGCGGCGGACGGGUGAGUAACACGUGGAUAACCUACCUAUAAGACUGGGAUAACUUCGGGAAACCGGAGCUAAUACCGGAUAAUAUUUUGAACCGCAUGGUUCAAAAGUGAAAGGCGGUCUUGCUGUCACUUAUAGAUGGAUCCGCGCUGCAUUAGCUAGUUGGUAAGGUAACGGCUUACCAAGGCAACGAUGCAUAGCCGACCUGAGAGGGUGAUCGGCCACACUGGAACUGAGACACGGUCCAGACUCCUACGGGAGGCAGCAGUAGGGAAUCUUCCGCAAUGGGCGAAAGCCUGACGGAGCAACGCCGCGUGAGUGAUGAAGGUCUUCGGAUCGUAAAACGCUGUUAUUAGGGAAGAACAUAUGUGUAAGUAACUGUGCACAUCUUGACGGUACCUAAGCAGAAAGCCACGGCUAACUACGU